UGGGGGCCCGGCCGCCUCGGAGGCCUCGACGGCUGCCCGGAGCCAGCAUGCGCCCCACCACGGGCGCCCCCUGGACACGGCCAGGGCAGGAGCUCCAGCGACUCCGGAGAGACCCAUUCAGACACCAGCUGACCAGAUAAGCGCCUCAGGGGGUCAGCUGUGCUGCGCCCUGCAAACAAGCCAGCUGAGUGGCUGCUGAAAAACAGCAUGUCACCAGGAGCCUUCCUCUCCCACUGUCAAAUUUUAUUCUGCCUUAACCACGUGUCUGAGGCACCUGGAUAAUACCCUGAGCCACACAAAACCUGUUAGUUCCAGAGCUCUCUCCGGUGAAGUCGUUUCUUAGGAAAUGCAAGCCCAGCGAUACUGAGUGAUUGAAGAUCCUGUGAAGACAGCCUGUCCUACUUCAGACUGAACAGAGAAGCAUGAAUGCCUUAAAUCGUUAGCUUCUAACCCUUUGGACCUACUGAACCAGAGGAAAGAAGACCCAAACUGCUUCUGGAAGCCUGGUGAUCGGCCUGUGAACCACAGAGGCUCACACUCUGACGAGGAGAACUCCCUUCAGCCGCUGCAGUGACCUCAACAGUGAGGACGCUCUCGGAGUCCAAGGCCGCUUUCCCGUGUUCCUCCCUCCGGCUCCUCCGGCCCUAACGGCCCCCACACCCACAGUAGCAUUCUAGCUCAUAAAGCUUCCAUAAGGUCUUCCUUCGGCCAGGAAGUUGGGGACCAUUUUCUAAGGAUAUUCUUAGACCCCUGAUAAUCUGAAUUUAGGACAUGACCCCAAGACGUUCCCAUCAGUAGGGACUGUGAAUAGUGUAGGGACUCUCAGAGCUAGAAGAUAACACAUCGCGCACUAAAAGAUGUUAUAAACUCUUCCAGGGGCGCUUUCCAAACUACAGAGGACUUCCGCGUGCAGAGGGGGAUGUCCGCUCUACCGAGGACGGCCCCCAAGACUCAGAUUUGGAUGUGCCUCUGGGGUGGCACCACCUGCUUUCCUUGAGAAUCACUUCCCUGGUGAAGCCUAGAAGUUCAGUGGCGUGUGCUGAGGUGGAAUGACAGGUUCAGAACCCCUCUACUAGAAGAUCACUAGCCACACUACAAAGCUAGAUAACGAAAAUAAGUUAGUAAUAUCUCUCCAUUUAUCACGCCACCCACGCUAACCAAAAUACUUUGAUUAAAGAUAAUCUAGAUAUUAAGUUAAAACCACCCAAAAAAAAACCCAUAAUCAAUAAUGAUGUUCUGAUAUGACGAAAAUGCCCUGUUUCAAUCCUUAAAUAUAGGGGAAAUUAGCUCGUAUUCAUGGAGCCUAGAAACUUAACAUGAAUUUGUAUGAUGAAUAAAAAGACCAUUUUGCUAGACUCCA
rnacentral:lncRNA from 1 species